CAACCCUCAAGCUCUGCUUGGUAUUGGGCGCCGUCCUCUCUGCGGACGCGCCUUAAAGACCUCGGCGGUGGCUGUUCAGCCCUCAAGCGUAGUAGAAUACACCUCGCUUUGGAGCGGUUGGCGUCGCCCGCCGGACGAACCUUCUGAACUUUUCUCAA
rnacentral:misc_RNA from 2 species